rnacentral:antisense_RNA from 1 species
GUUUGGGUGUGACCGCAUGGCGUGCUGUGGUGCAGGUGGCCGAAGGGGGCGUUACUGUUGCGACUGCCAUCCGCAUCCGGCAGAUGUAGAUGGAACCAAAGUCCAGAAGUUACGCGUCACCCUUGCUCUACAGCCAAACAUGCAGGACUCUAGUAACCCGCGAAAUGAUGGGAUAGCGUUGCAAAUCCUUAAAAGAGUCUUACGAAAUCCUGGCUGACAUUGACUUCUCCACUGCAACCAUCGAGUUCAUUGUCUCCUAAACCUUGCCAUGGAGGCCUGUGGCACCUGAGCCAGCCAUUAUCAUCACCAGCACUUCCAUGAGCUACAAGCUGGACCCACUGCAGUCCUCCUGACACACUGAAAUCAGAGCCUGCACACAGAGCAGCAGAUGCUUCAAUGUAAAGGUCAUUUCCAGCUAUGUGUUCCAAGAUUACUGAAGCAGGAUUCUGGCCUUCCUGAUAAGAACAAGACCAGAUCCAGCUGGUUUGCAACAAGAUGAACUUCAGUGCUGAGCUUUCACCAAGUUUUUCUCAUUACAAUCUCAUUGUAAUACUAAAAUCUCCACCCAAGAUGGAGGUUAUCUGACAUUUUCUGUACAUGUGUUACCAGAAAGGGGUCCUGAUCCAGACCCCAAAAGAGGGUUCUUGGAUCUCACGCAACAAAGAGUUCGGGGCGAGUCCAUAGAGUAAAGUGAAAGCAAGUUCAUCAAGAAAGCAAAGGAAUAAAGAAUGCCUACUCCAUAGGCAGAGCAGUGGCUUUGGCUGCUCAGCUGCUUGUACUUGUUACUUCUUGAGUAUAUGCUAAACAAGGGAUUGAUUACUCCUUGUUUAGCAGUUUUCUGGGAAAGGAGUGGGCAAUUCCCAGAACUGAGGGUUCCUCCCCUUUUUAGACCAUAUAGGGUGACUUCCUGAUGUUGCCAUGGCAUUUGUAAACUGUCAUGGCGCUAGUGGGAGUGUCUUUUAGCAUGCUAAUGCAUGAGCAGUGAGGAUGACCCGAGGUCAUUUUUGUUACCAUCUUGGUUUUGGUGGGUUUUGGCUGGUUUUGGCCAGCUUCUUUACCACUUCUUUUUAUCAGCAAGGUCUUUGUGACCUGUACUUAGUGCCGACCUCCUAUCUCAUCCUGUGAGUAAGAAUGCCUAAUCUCUCAGGAAUGCAGCCCAGUAGGUCUCAACCUUAUUUUACCCAGCCCCCAUUCAAGAUGGAGUGACUCUGGUUCAUGCGUGGUCAAAUGCCUCUGACACAUGCGCCCCAUGUUUGGGCAUGAGACCUCACUGUGUAGGUGCAGAGAAGACCCUGCCUAAACAUUGCCUAACGUUGCUCCUUUUUCCUGCCUCAACUUCCUUAAAAUGACAAGAGCGGAGCCCUUUUGGGAGCUAACAUCAGGACUCCUUUUUUGUACUCUGCUCCGUUGUGCUGCUAGAGCCACAAGCCUAUUAAACUUUGCCUGAAAUAAA